CAUUUCAUUGUAGUUCCUGCAAGAAAACACCAGCAUUUUCUUCCUCAAUUUUAACAUGUUGCACUGCUUAACGUUUUCUGAUGAGCAGUGUAGGCUAAAAACCUCAUGAAGGCGUAGUCAUUGUUGCGUGGGCAUCUUUUACUCAUACGGCUUUGUGAUCAAACUUUCUUUUUUCAAGAGGAAAGAGCCUUAAGUAGCAAUAAAGGAUCAGCAGCAGCAGCACCAAGGCAAAGAAGGCAUCCCCAGAGAUAGGAGGGAAUCUCCAGCUGCAGUUGAUCAGGAUGAGACAAUAGUAUUUGAUUGUGCUCCUGAAAAAUUUGCUGACCUAAGUUUGCCCAGGUGUUGUUUUAAAACAUGUUAAUUUUUAACAGCAAAUGUAAUGACAGUAGUAGUAUUAAAAUCUUAAUGUUGUAAAUAGCUAAUAAAACUGUUCUUGUAAAAAAAA